GAUGAACGCUGGCGGCGUGCCUAAUCCAUGCAAGUCGAACGGAGACGGUAGCAAUACUGUCUUAGUGGCGAACGGGUGAGUAACGCGUUGGUGACCUGCCCCGAAGCGGGGGAUAACAGACCGAAAGGUUUGCUAAUACCGCAUAAUUUGUCAAGAGUUAGAGCGCUUGACAAGAAAGCCGAAAGGCACUUUGGGAGGGCCUGCGUCCCAUCAGCUAGUUGGUAAGGUAAUGGCUUACCAAGGCGAUGACGGGUAGGGGACCUGAGAGGGUGGCCCCCACAAUGGAACUGAACACGGUCCAGACUCCUACGGUGGCUG
rnacentral:rRNA from 1 species